rnacentral:tRNA from 1 species
GCCGGAGUGGCGGAACUGGCAGACGCAGCGGACUCAAAAUCCGCCGGGCUUCGGCCCUUGGGGGUUCGAGUCCCCCCUCCGGCACCA